CCUACGGGAGGCAGCAGUGAGGAAUAUUGGUCAAUGGACGUGCGUCUGAACCAGCCAAGUAGCGUGAAGGAUGACUGCCCUAUGGGUUGUAAACUUCUUUUAUAAAGGAAUAAAACGAGGCACGUGUGCCUGGAUGCAUGUACUUUAUGAAUAAGGAUCGGCUAACCCCGGGCCAGCUGCCGCGGUAAUACGGAGGAUCCGAACGUUGUCCGGAUUUAUUGGGUUUAAAGGGAGCGUAGAUGGGUUGGUAAGUCAGGUGUGAAAGUUUGCGGCUCAACCGUAAAAUUGCAAUUGAUACUGGCAGUCUUGAGUACAGUUGAGGUAAGCGGAAUUCGUGGUGUAGCGGUGAAAUGCUUAGAUAUCACGAAGAACCCCGAUUGCGAAGGCAGCUUACUAAACUCUGACUGACAUUGAUGCUCGAAAGUGUGGGUAUCAAACAGGAUUAGAUACCCUAGUAGUC
rnacentral:rRNA from 1 species